CACACAGUGUGAUGUGGCCUACAAGACAUUGUGCCCAGGGCCUCUAAAUUCUUAAUUCUGAAUUCUUAAUCCUAUAUUUUGCGUAAGGCCUUAACCCUUGAAUAAAGCCUUAACGGGCAAUAUGCUUACAUUGACCACAAGGCGGCAGUAAACGCAUUUUUAUUUAGAUUUCUUGCUGGCAAAAAUGCGGCGAAGAAGAAAAAGAACCAAUAACUAACGUCAUAUUAGUAAAAAAUGGUGGUGAAAGAUAAACAAGCAGUGAAGUACAAUUUGCUCAACUGUGUAUGUGCUUGAAAAUCGCUGUCAGCGUAUAAAAAAAAAAAUUUAAAAAAAAAAAAAAAAACCACCCAACGCAGUUCCCUUGUAACGGAAGCCGAUGACCUCAAGAAAGAUCGAAGCAAGAAGAAAUACAACAAGGAUUUCCAGACAUUUGCUUGAUAUUUACCGAAAACUGCUUUAUAUAACUUCAGCAAUCCAACUAGGAAAAGCAAUUGAACGGCCUUUUGAAUAGCUAGCAUCGCUAGCAUCGCUAGCGGUAAAUUAGCUAGCUAGCUAGCUACAGAUUUGCUAAGCAGAAGCUCGAGCGGCUUUUCAAGAGCUAAAGGGCCGAGAGACGUUUUAUUUAUUUUUUUACCUUAUGUUAGUUUUUGGUCGUGUUUAUUUUUAAGGUGUAAACGUAUCUAAGACUAGCAGCAAUGGCUUGUGGAGCUACAUUGAAGAGGACGAUGGAUUUCGACCCUUUGCUGAGUCCCGGCUCGUCGAAAAGGAGGAGAUGCGCCCCGGUAUCGCAGUCAUCAGCCCCGAGAAAUUACCUGCGUCAUGAGCCGAGUCCUUUCAGCCAGCUCUCGGUCACACUUACAACAGAGCAAAUCCUUAAUAACAUAAAGCAAGAAUACAAGCGCAUGCAGAAGCGGAAGCAUUUGGAUGGAAGCCUUCACCAGCCUGAGGUUUGCUCAUCCUUUAUGUCCCAGUCCCAGACCUCUCUUCUGAGUGGAUCCAGUUAUCAAGAGGCAACGGUGGAAAGGAAAAACUCCCUGAGACGAUAUGAGGGAGAAACCUUGAGAGGAACCAGACUCAAAAGGGAACCCGUCCUCACCUGGGUGACACCGGAUAGUGUGAUUAUAAAUAAACUGCACCAUGAGGAUGCAUCCGCAGCAACAGCAUGUAACGUCCAAUUCAUGAGAACUCCAACCAGAAGUCGGGCAUCAGGAUGGAUCAGGCAGGUCCGGAGAGCAGAAUUGGUUAGGAUCACUGGUCUCUGAGGCAUAUCAUGUGUAGCUCGACAGAAAGAGAGAGGGAGAGAUUAUUAGGUAUGCAUAUUGUCCCAUAAUGGUUAAGGACAAUGUACUUUGCGUGAGUGCCAGCAGGGACUCUGGUAAGACUAGCUAUGACAGCAUAACUAAAAGGAAGAGGCAGAAGGUAACAUAGACAUGAGGGUGCCCAGCCACUCCACCAUCAAAAAACCUGGGUGAAAGUGGAGGGGUGACAGCCUCCAAACAUCCCAGUUCACCACAACACUCCAUGCCUGUGAGCCCUCUAGAUCUGCUUCUUUACCUAAGAAAAAAAACUAUUCACAAAAGCUUGACUAAACAAAUGUCUUCAGCCUGGACUUAAACACUGAGACUGUGUCUGAGUCCCGAACAUUAAUUGGAAGGCUGUUCCAUAAGUGUGGGGCUUUGUAAGAGAAAGCGCUUCCCCCUAUGUAGCCUUCACUAUUCAAGGUAGUGACAAAUAGUCUACACCUUUUGAUCGAAGUAGGCGUGGCGGAUCAUACAAGACCAAAAGUUCACUCAGGUACUGUGGCAUGAGACCAUUCAGUGCUUUAUAGGUCAGUAGUAGCAUUUUAUAAUCAAUGCGAAAUUUUACUGGGCACCAACGCAGUGUGGAUAACAUCAGGGUGAUGUGGACAUAUUUUCUGGUUCUAGUAAGGACUCUUGCAGCUGCAUUCUGGACUAACUGGAGUUUGUUUAUGCACCUUACUGGAACAUCCAGACAAGACAUCCUCUGGAGCUGUUUCACCCACAAGGAGAGAACAGCCGUUGUUCACUUUAAAACAGGUCGGCAUGCUAUGUGAACGCCUUUUGAAGGAACGUGAAGAUAAGGUCAGAGAAGAAUAUGAGGAGAUCAUGAC